CCGCGCUGAGUUGUCCACGGAACUUACAUCUCUUUCGCCUUUUACUAAAGAGAUCAGCGAAGACAACUCGAAUAAGGCGCCUCGGUCAAAUCUUUGCAGCGCAAUCCGCGCU
rnacentral:snRNA from 1 species